GUUUCGGUGGCGCCGGCGUUGAUCGUGGUUUUUCUGUGGUGGAUGUUGUUGAUGGUCACUUGUCGAAAGACUCAACUUAGUAAUUAUCGCGAGAUUCCUCGUGUUACGUUGACUUUGUGCCUUCCGGAUGACCGAAGAUCGUUCCGCUCCUCCAGAAUCGGAAUUAUGGCGAAUUCGUGGUUGGUCAGUAUCGUGCGCGGAACCAACCUACAAGAUGUCGGGAUUUUCCAUCCGAUUCGUGAUUACAUGGAUCUUCUACAACCACUAAGAGGUAUAUUAAUAAAGGAUUUGGUGGAUUCGGAGUUUGAGAUUUUUUGUAAAAGAUCUCGUAUCUGAGUGCUCUGGCUUAAGGUAUUUUGAUUGGGUUGAUUCUUGAUGGGGCUAAUACCGGAACAGGUUGUAUUGGUAAGAUCGUUUAGGUAUUUUAUGUGGUUAUUGGAUCUGGUUGAUAUAUUUGGAGGUAUGGUUGCGAGGGGUGUGUGUAAGUGAUUGUUCUGAUGUUAGCUCUUGUUUAUGGACCUUUGCCAUGUCAGGUGCGCUUGCAUGGCAGGUCCGAAAAGCGUUAAUAAAAUGGUUAUUUUUUUUGUUUGGGGGAGGGUAGGAGUCGGGGCUUUUAUUUUAGUUUUUUCCCCGAUUCUUUUCUCUCUCCCCGUGGUGUCGUGUUUUACCCUUUCCCUUUCCCUUUCUCUUCCUUAGUCUCUCUGCUCUGCACUCUGAAUUUUUUUAUAUAUUCUGGUUCGCUUACUGCAUAUCGGCUCAACAAAACGACAAAACGAUUGGCUACUCGGAAAGGUACAUAGUGCUGAAUGCACACUUUAAUUCAUUUUAAUUUCGUUGUUUAUGAAUUUACUCUUCGAGUUUGCAAUACAUAAUUAACACUAUUCCAUGCAUCUAAAUCAAUUAAUAGGGCGGUUUUAUUGAAUCUUAAUUAACAUUUAAGUCAUUGCUACAAUUUAUGCAUACUUUAAUUAUUUCUUGACCGUAUGUUUUAUAAUUUCGCAAAUAAAUUAUUUGUUUAAGCAUAUAUACUCUGCCCUACUGUGAUUUGUAAUUCACAUCAAUAGAAUUGAUUUGAAGGGGGUUUCCAAUAAAUUAAUAAUUAAGGAAUUUAUAAACUUCAUCGAAGGAGAUUUGAACAAUGUAAAUUGCUCCUUUUAGUUCUGUGGUUUUAUAAACUUUAACUUGAUUGAUUAAAGUUAAUUUAUUAAACUGAGGCACAGCAUGAUUUUUAAUAUUUGUUCCAAAUUUAUAUAUUAUUCAACAAUUGAAUCAAAGUGGCUUUGGAAUUACAAUAAAAAAUGUGCAAAUGUUUCUUUGUUGAGAGCUCAUGCAUAUAUUAACAAUUGAAUCAAAGUGCCUUUGGAUUCACGAUAUAAUAGUGUGCGAAUGUUUAUAUUUUCUGUUGAGCGCACAUGCACAUCAACUAGUUCAUUUAUAUCAGAUGCAGUACUUAAACUUAUUUUUUCAUUUUUUUAGUUAUAUAUAUUUAUAUUUUAAACUUAUCUUAAAGUUUUUAUCUAUAAAUACCAGUCAAUGUCUCCUCGUAGAAUCCUGCAUGUAUUGUGAUAAUCUCGUAGGUUAGGGUGAUGUCUUACUGCAAUUGUAUUAUGGAGCUAUUAUUGGCUAACAUUUGUACUUUAGUUCUGUUUAGGAUCAUUGGGAUUUUGUUGUAUUUUUAUGUUUAAAAAAUCUGCCGUGGUACACGAGGCAGUGAUCAUAGAUUGCUGUAAACACCUGUGCCUAGUGUAGCUUUAAGGUUCCUUAUAUCUGCAGUAUUCUGCUUUGGAUCAGCAUCAAUAUUGGCCUUUGUCAAGAACUGUGCGACUGGCCUCUUACAUGUUCCUUUGGAGUCUAGAUAUAGUAUUUGAAAAGGAGUCUGAGAUCAUGCAGAGGAUGAAUGUACGUGUUAUUCUGCGAAGCGGGGAAGGACCUUCAGACUUGGAGGUUAGAUAUCAAUCUUCUAUCACUUGAAAAUUUCGAUCCACGUCGAGGCUAUUUAUCUAGAGAUUUGACUUUGGUGCUUCAUCAAAUCAUGCUGGAUCAACGACAAGCCGCAGUGCAUUAUAAUCAAACGAUUGUUUUAUGUUCGGUCAUGUAACGUCGACGUUAAUGGUCACGUCUUUUAUAUUUGGCGACAUCUUCGGGGAAUCUGUAUACUGUUGACGAAAUCCUGAAGUUGGUGGUUGUUCUCAACUUCUCCUAUCCUUGAUCAUUGUUAUUGAAAAUUUUCCUCGUUCUGUAUUCAUGGGAAAAAUAUUUGUCUCUGGUUUGUUCUCUACUCCAUUUUUUAACUAUGAACAUGCUGAAACAGUUUUUUCCAG